rnacentral:rRNA from 1 species
UAGGGAAUCUUCGGCAAUGGACGGAAGUCUGACCGAGCAACGCCGCGUGAGUGAAGAAGGUUUUCGGAUCGUAAAGCUCUGUUGUAAGAGAAGAACGAGUGUGAGAGUGGAAAGUUCACACUGUGACGGUAUCUUACCAGAAAGGGACGGCUAACUACGUGCCAGCAGCCGCGGUAAUACGUAGGUCCCGAGCGUUGUCCGGAUUUAUUGGGCAUAAAGCGAGCGCAGGCGGUUAGAUAAGUCUGAAGUUAAAGGCUGUGGCUUAACCAUAGUACGCUUUGGAAACUGUUUAACUUGAGUGCAAGAGGGGAGAGUGGAAUUCCAUGUGUAGCGGUGAAAUGCGUAGAUAUAUGGAGGAACACCGGUGGCGAAAGCGGCUCUCUGGCUUGUAACUGACGCUGAGGCUCGAAAGCGUGGGGAGCAAACAGGAUUAGAUACCCUGGCAGUCCACGCCGUAAACGAUGAGUGCUAGGUGUUAGACCCUUUCCGGGGUUUAGUGCCGCAGCUAACGCAUUAAGCACUCCGCCUGGGGAGUACGACCGCAAGGUUG